rnacentral:tRNA from 1 species
GUCCUGAUAGCUCAGUCGGAUAGAGCAACGGCCUUCUAAGCCGUCGGUCGGAGGUUCGAAUCCUCUUCAGGACGCCA